rnacentral:rRNA from 1 species
UAUUGGCGAACGGGUGAGUAACACGUGGGCAAUCUGCCCUGCACUCUGGGACAAGCCCUGGAAACGGGGUCUGAAUACCGGAUACUGACCCGCUUGGGCAUCCAAGCGGUUCGAAAGCUCCGGCGGUGCAGGAUGAGCCCGCGGCCUAUCAGCUUGUUGGUGAGGUAAUGGCUCACCAAGGCGACGACGGGUAGCCGGCCUGAGAGGGCGACCGGCCACACUGGGACUGACACACGGCCCAGACUCCUACGGGAGGGAGCAGUGGGGAAUAUUGCACAAUGGGCGAAAGCCUGAUGCAGCGACGCCGCGUGAGGGAUGACGGCCUUCGGGUUGUAAACCUCUUUCAGCAGGGAAGAAGCGAAAGUGACGGUACCUGCAGAAGAAGCGCCGGCUAACUACGUGCCAGCAGCCGCGGUAAUACGUAGGGCGCGAGCGUUGUCCGGAAUUAUUGGGCGUAAAGAGCUCGUAGGCGGCUUGUCACGUCGGUUGUGAAAGCCCGGGGCUUAACCCCGGGUCUGCAGUCGAUACGGGCAGGCUAGAGUUCGGUAGGGGAGAUCGGAAUCCUGGUGUAGCGGUGAAAUGCGC